rnacentral:rRNA from 1 species
UACGUAGGCAGCGAGCGUUGUUCGGAGUUACUGGGCGUAAAGGGUGUGUAGGCGGUUGUUUAAGUUUGGUGUAAAAUCUCCCGGCUCAACUGGGAGGGUGCGCCGAAUACUGAAUGACUUCGAGUGCGGGAGAGGAGAGUGGAAUUCCUGGUGUAGCGGUGAAAUGCGUAGAUAUCAGGAGGAACACCGGUGGUGUAGACGGCUCUCUGGACCGUAACUGACGCUGAGACACGAAAGCGUGGGUAGCAAACAGG